rnacentral:rRNA from 1 species
CCUACGGGCGGCAGCAGUGGGGAAUAUUGGACAAUGGGGGCAACCCUGAUCCAGCCAUGCCGCGUGUGUGAAGAAGGCCCUCGGGUUGUAAAGCACUUUCAGUGAGGAAGAACGCCUGGUGGUUAAUACCCAUCAGGAAAGACAUCACUCACAGAAGAAGCACCGGCUAACUCCGUGCCAGCAGCCGCGGUAAUACGGAGGGUGCGAGCGUUAAUCGGAAUUACUGGGCGUAAAGCGCGCGUAGGUGGCUUGAUAAGCCGGUUGUGAAAGCCCCGGGCUCAACCUGGGAACGGCAUCCGGAACUGUCAAGCUAGAGUGCAGGAGAGGAAGGUAGAAUUCCCGGUGUAGCGGUGAAAUGCGUAGAGAUCGGGAGGAAUACCAGUGGCGAAGGCGGCCUUCUGGACUGACACUGACACUGAGGUGCGAAAGCGUGGGUAGCAAACAGGAUCAGAUACCCCAGUAGUC